CACAUGACUCUCGGCAACGGAUAUCUCGGCUCUCGCAUCGAUGAAGAACGUAGCGAAAUGCGAUACCUGGUGUGAAUUGCAGAAUCCCGCGAACCAUCGAGUCUUUGAACGCAAGUUGCGCCCGAGGCCACCAGGCCGAGGGCACGCCUGCCUGGGCGUCACGC
rnacentral:rRNA from 1 species